CAGGCUAGAUGACCUAAUACUACAUUCUCUCCUUAAUCAUUCUAUGAACUCACUUUUUAUGGAUUCGAGUUUUAAAUGUGUGGUUUGUUUUUCUUGCAGAAUGUUUGGAUCCCUCCAAGCAAGGAGUGCUGGUACAAUCCCCGUCCUAGGAGAGACGAAUGAUAUGGGUGUGGAAUUGCCUAGCUCACCAAUCCAGAUAUAAUGGAAGACAAAGCAACUUUUUUUUUUUUUUUUGUCCCUGAACUAAUUGCUUAUUGAAAUGCACAUAAACACAUCUUCUUUCCUCUUCUUCAGGCCUCUCCCAGUUAUUCUGGGUACUGCAAUGAUAAAAGAAAAGUAAGGUCACGUCAUCAAAUCUCUGCCAAGUAAAACACAUCUAAUGGCGAGACGGCAUGUCUGAAGCAAAUGGAUAAAAAUCUCAUUUCCAAGCUAUUGGAUCCAAAAUUAUGCAGAUUAAAAUCAAAGCCUUUUUGGUUGUUGUUGUUGGGUUUUUGUGAGGUUUCUUAAAGUCAUAUAUCUAGUUAUUUGUUUUUAAUCCCUAAAGUUGGGGGAUUUAAAUCCUAGGAAAGGAAGGAAGCUCACAAAAUUCAUUUUGAGACUACAAUUUAGACCCACUAGUCUAUUGUUAUUAAUUUAUUUUUUAGUAAAAAUGGAAGAGCAAUGAAAGUCAUCGAGAGGAAAAGAAAAGGUUUGUUCUGGCAGGAAAUUAAGUUGAUGGAGUAUUUUUAAGUAAGAGGUUGAGAGAUGUGAAGAAGAAAAUGGGUGAGGAAGGCCUGGAUGCUGAGAGGGGUAAGACUUUGGAGAGAAGAGAAAAUUCCCUUCCUGAAAGAUCCCAGGACAUCCCUGGUGACUCAAACCCUCCAUACAAUUGCAUUCGUCAUACCUGCUUCAGGCUUCAGUUCUGUACCCAUUAAUGACUCUUAAAGGAAAGGGCACAAUUUAAUUUGAGAGGGAAAAGGAUGAUUUUUUUUUUUUUUAACACUUUGCUUUUUCAAUUGAUGGGCACAUUUUCCUCACACAAUGGUCAGACCCCAUUCAGAGAUCAAAGGGAGAGGGAAUUGACCUUGACAAUCUCUUGAGGGAUUCACAGAUACCUAAGCUCUGCUGAAUUGAUGUUCAGGAAGAGAAGGCAGAGAGUAAAGAGUGGGGGUUGAUGAUGGCAAAUUUCCUAUUUGCACUCAAAAACAAUGGACCCCGGCUGGUUGGCUUCUGAAUCGGGAUCAGAAUGUGCGAUCUUGCUUUGUCAUGAUAGGCAAACAAAAACUAUGUAAAAAUCUGGAAAAGUGACUUGUAUUGAGCUACUUUAUUUCUAAUUUAAUUAAAACUGAAAGAAAAAUAAAAAGGAGGGUAGUAUAACCAACCAAGAGCAGGGCAGUGUGGUCUGAGUCACUCUUAAAAUAAAUCUUAUUAUACCUAUUUAAUUAAAAAAAAAAAAAAAAGGAACAAAAUCCCCUUGCACAAAGUCUCAACCUAGAAUUCCCUCCUACCCCACAGGCAGGUUGAAGGAGCCUGUCUGCAGAAGUGCCCGAGCAUCUGGCCACUAGGCUCCAGCCAGCAUGCUCAUAAUGAGCCAAUUUCAAUUGAAAUGAGAUCAAUACUAUUCAUUUUUCCUCUAGCUGGUUCCCAAGUGAUUCAUGAAUCUGAAAACUAGUUCAUGAAUCAGAGCAGGGUGGGGUGGAGAGGACUGGAGGCGAGGGCUGGGGAAUAUGUGUGUGCAGUUGCAAACCUUGAUUUCUUUUCAUCAACACAGCCAUUUAGUUGCAUAAUGCUGGGGCUGCUUACUAGUUUAGACCAGUCUUUUAGGAAGUGGAAGCGUUUGUUCCACCAAGGACUUCUUUGAUUAGGAUCCUUCCAGCGUAGGAAAGAGCCACUCCAUAUAUGGGACUGUCCUUGGAGAUCUGGCCCCGGCUCCUGCACCCGCGGUGUUUGUGCACUUGUGUGGACUUCUGAGAAUCCAGGAGCGUGUGUGCAUGCAUGUAUGUAUGUGUGUUCAUUUUUAGGCGCUUCCUUGAUGGCCUCCGUGUGCCCGUGGUGUAUGUGACACACACACAAGAUAUGGAACCGGCCAUGGGCCCUUUAAAUCGGAGCUGGGGCCAAGCCCAUUUCUCUGUGGAGCUUCCUAAGGAAGCACAUGAUGAGGGCAGUUGGAAACCACAGCCCUGUAAGUGCUGAUUACAACCUACUAAGGAAAAUGAGAUUUUUAUCUCGCAGGAAUUCAGUUAUAAAAAUAAAAUACAGCGUCUGGCUUGAUUCAGCUAAACGUACUUGCACCAGGGUGUUUUUAAUUUAACCGAGAAGCCGGGCAAGAAGAAUGACCUAAAAUACUGCGUUGAAAGAAAGCAGGGGGGAGGCAGGGAGGGAAGGGAGGAAGGAAGGAGAGAGGUUAUGAGAGAGAGAGAGAGAGAGA